rnacentral:lncRNA from 1 species
AAGAUGUGAGCAGGGGCGAGCGCUUGCCCUCCGGGAGCUCAGUCUCAUGGAAGACACGGGAAUGUGAAGCAGCAUCUCCUCACGCUUCAAGAAAGAUAGAAACAAAUGUUUGGGGUUUCAGAAGAGAGAGAAGGCUCCUACGCUCUUCAAAUGAGCAAGGGUGAAAACUGUUUACACUGCCAGACCGUGGGGUGGUGGGGAGGCGUCACGUUACCUCAGAAGGGAGCGUGAAUUUGAGGACACAGGCUAGGGAAAGGCCAUCGGCAGAGGAGAGCACACAGGAAAAGCCCCCACGUGCGAAAGCGCCUGAGAAACAGCAAGACACUGUGGACGUGUGACCGCUGCUCUGCCAAGUUUCCUCUGCAGACGACUCUGAGACAACUGUUCCUGUCUCACUGACAGAACAGUGGGCAAACCCAACUCCAUGGCAAGUCAUAGGCCCAUUUAGUCUGAAAAGAAUCAGCUGGGUGCGGUGGCUCAUGCCUGUAAUGCCAGCACUUUGGGAGGCCGAGGCAGGUGGAUCACCUGAGGUCAGGAGUUCAAGGCCAUCCUGGCCAACAUGCUGAAACCCCGUCUCUACUAAAAAUACAAAAACUAGCCAGGCGUGGUGGCGGGUGCCUGUAAUCCCAGCUACUGUGGAGGCAGGAUGGAUCACUUGAAUCCAGGAGGUGGGGGUUGCAGUGAGCCGAGAUCGUGCUGCUGCACUCCAUCCUAGGUGACUGAGCACUACUCCAUCUAAAAAAAAAAAAAAAAAUUACUUGCCCAGGAGCAUCUUGGUUGAAUAGCAGCUCCAGGGGAACAGGAUUCAGGGCUGGAGGGUUGUUCGCGGUUGUUGGUGAAGUCAGUGAAGCUGCAUUCUGUGCUGUGACUGCCAGAAGCCUCGCAGGGCCUGGGCCUCAUCAGCAGGUGUCCUGUCUUUAGAUUAAUGGAGGGGAGAGUGGUGAGCACUGGGCUCAGCUCAGCAGCCCACCGGGGUGGCUCUCCAGGGUGGUGUCAGAGCUGGGAGACCACAUUGCAUGAAGGCCUUUGAAGAAGCUGGCACCGUGCCCUGACCGCCGGUAGUAGCUCCCUAGGGCUGUCGUAACAAAGUGCCACUAACUUUCAACAACAGAAGUUUAUUGUCUCGGUGCCAGAGGUCAGAAGUCUGAGAGCAAGGUGCCGGCAGGGCCAUGCUCCCUCUGCAGGCGCCAGGGAAGGAUCUGUUCCAGGCCUCGCUCCUCUCCCAGGUUCGGGUAGCCCCUUGGCUUGUGGUAACCCUGGGUUUCUCGUGGCCUUCCCUCCGUACCUUUCUGUGUCCGACUUGCUCCUUUUUAUAAGGACAUUGGAAUGGGACUCAUCCUAAUGACCUCAUCUUGACGUGAUCAUCCACAAAGACCCUAUUUCCAAAUAAGGCCGCAUUCACAGACACUGGGGGUUGGGACUUCAACAUCUUUUUUUUUUUUUUUUUUGAGACAGAGUCUCGCUCUGUUGCCCAGACUGGAGUGCAUGAUGCAAUCUCGGCUGACUGCAACCUCUGCCUCCCGGGUUCCAGUGAUUCUGUGCCUCAGCCUCCCAAGUAGCUGGGAUUACAGGCACACGCCACCACGCCCGGCUAAUUUUUGUAUUUUUAGUAGAGACGAGAGUGCACCAUGUUGGCCAGGCUGGUCUCGAACUACUGACCUCAAGUGAUCUGCCCGCCUUGGCCUCCCAGAGUGUUUGGCCUCACAGGUUUGAGCCACCACGCCCGGCCUAGGGACUUCAACAUCUUUUGGGGGCACACAUUGCAACUCAUAACACCACCCCACCUAAAACAGCCCCCAGGCCAGCCCCACCACUGUGUCCCCUCACUCUGCUUUAUUUUCUUCAGAUCAUUUGUAACAACCUGAAAUGUGCCCCUUUAUUUUCCCGGUUGCUGCCCGGUCCUGAGGUGGAAUGUUAACACCUUGUGGGCAGUGGCCUUGUCUGUGUCAUUUCCCACUGCAUUGCAGGCACCUGGGACCUGAUCAUGGUAGGAGUCAGCAAACACUUAGAGAGCAAUCUAAUCUGGCCUGGAAAAAAGGAAGCUGAUGAGUGCAGGAAUCAGAAGGGCUGUGUGGGGGCAGAAAGAGCAGCCUUGUUCUCUUAAGUCUCAGAGAACAGAACCAAGACAGGGAAGAGGUUGGGGGUGGGCCCUUCCUGGUAUUUUUUUUUUUUUUUUUUUUUUUGAGUCGGAGUUUCACUUGUCAGCCAGGCUGGAGUGCAAUGGCACGAUCUCGGCUCACUGCAAACUCCGCCUCCUGGGUUCAAGCGAUUCUUCUGCCUCAGCCUCCCGAGUAGCUGGGACUACAGGCAUGCACCACCACGCCCAGCUAAUUUUUGUAUUUUUAGUAGAGACAGGGUUUCUCCAUGUUGGCCAGGCUGGUCUCGAACUCCUGACAUUCGGUGAUCCACCCGCCUCGGCCUUCCAAAGUGCUGGGAUUACAGGUGUGAGCCACUGUGCCCAGCCCCUUCCUGUUGAGUAAAAGGAAGAACUUCAGGGUAAGACACUGUACAGUGCCCAGCAUCUGGAGAGCCGCCAGCAUUACCCCUGCCUUAGGAGGUAGUCGUCUCCUCAUCACUACAAGGUAUUGAAGCCUGAGGGCCCCUGGGCAGGACGAUAGAGUGAGAUUGCCCUGGGGACUCAGGAAAGGAAACAUGCCGUAUUUCUAGGGAAGGAGCUGCUGCUGCCUCUCAGUGACUCUGGUUCCAGGAGGAAGAGCCGAGAGCUAGGGUUCCCUUCAUAGGGAGAAACCCAGCAGGGUUUGGGGUGUUCUGGGAAGCCAGGCCAGCAUGGCUUCAGACCCUGGCUCUCCCAGAAGCUGCUCCUAAUUUGGCCAUGGUGAGGUUGCUGAGGAGAAGAUGGCUGGGUGGCUUUGGUGGGAAAGUUCCCAUUGCUCCAGGAGUGAGUCCUCGAAUGGGACAGGGGUACGAAACACCCACUGAUGAGUGAAGCGUUGUGCUGACACCAGGAGUCCUGGCAGCUGCAGAGACCAUCCGAGGCCUGUCCUGCCUCCAGCCCCUUACAUGGAUGUGCCAGGCAGCCCAGGCUGGGGCGUGCUGCCGACCUCCAUCCUGUCUGUAGGCAAGGCCUGCCUAGGUUGGAGAGGGACUGCCAUGUCUCAUCCAGUCACAAUCCAGUUCCGUUCUUCAAGCCGUGAUUAAGCAUCUACUGUUUGUCUGGCACUGCAGAUAAAUAGAGCUCUCUAUUUUUUUCAGGGUCGGCCCCAGGACUGACCCUGAGAAGGGACUGAUUUGGAGGACAGUGGGCGCUGUCACUGGGUUAGCAUGUGAGCGAGGACAGAGGGCUUCCCCGUGCAGUUCAUCCUGAGCAGCAGCAAGAGCAAGGCCAAGAGGCAGGAGGCCCAGGCCCAGCCCCACUCUGGCCGUCAGUGUCCUCUGUAACAUGGUGGUGGGUGGUUAGGUCGGGGGGCCCCAAGCACCUCUAGCCAUAGCAGUGCUGCUUCCUGUGUGAGAUAGGAAGGGCCGAUGGGAAAGGGCGUCGUCUCCACCCUCAGCCUCUGGGCCCAGCGGGCCAGGGCUCACCCUCCCAGCCGGCUGCUCCACGGAGAAGCGUGGGACUGUGCUGUCUCUCGGUUAAGCAGUCUUCAGGGCGCAGGCCAGACACAGGGAGGCCUGGAGACAAAACUGGAGGGGACGCAGAGGGAAAUGUGACACUCUUAAGGAUUCUUUUUGAGAAUUAAACUUAAAAUGGGGCAAAAUUGGCCAAAACAUGCUUUUUCUCCUGAAUUUUUCCCAUUCCCUAGCCAAGGCCUAUAUAUCUGUAAAUAUGGUCAUGAAAUGAACAUAUUUAAUGAGUCAUC